ACUGUACGGGAGGCAGCAGUGGGGAAUAUUGCACAAUGGGGGGAACCCUGAUGCAGCCAUGCCGCGUGAAUGAAGAAGGCCUUCGGGUUGUAAAGUUCUUUCGGUGACGAGGAAGGUUGGUAUGUUAAUAGCAUAUCAAAUUGACGUUAAUCACAGAAGAAGCACCGGCUAACUCCGUGCCAGCAGCCGCGGUAAUCAGU
rnacentral:rRNA from 1 species